rnacentral:tRNA from 1 species
GAAGUUAUAGUUAAAUAUGGUUUUAUAAUAUUACAUUGUCAAUGUAAAGAUAUGAGUUCAAAUCUCUUUAAUUUCG